GCAGACUAGCCUCCAGUCGUGACAUUUACCCAGGAUCCACUGUCACGCUGACCUGUAACACCAACCCCGUUUUGUUGGAAAAUGUAGUUCUGUUGAUUGUAUGUCCUGGUACCAGCAGAAACCUGGACAGGCUCCAGAGCUCCUAAUAUACAGGGUGAGCACUAGACAUUCAGGAACACCAGCUCGGUUUAGUGGCAGUGGAAGCAGCUCUGACUUCUCUUUGACCAUCAGUGGAGUUCAGAGUGAAGAUGCAGCAGUUUACUACUGUUAUAGCGGACAUGUAGUAAACGGAGCGAGUGUGUGGACUUUCGGUGGAGGAACCAAACUCGACAUUGACUUGGGUGUGGUGCGGCCCACCCUGACCGUCCUCCCCCCCUCCAGUGAAGAGCUGCAGCAGGGCAGUGCCACUGUGGUGUGUCUGGCCAGCGGGGGCUUCCCCUCAGCCUGGAGCCUGGGCUGGAAGGUGGGGGGCAGCAGCAGCUCCUCAGGGGUGUCUCACAGCCCGGGGGUCCUGGGGAGGGGCGGCCACUACAGCUGGAGCAGCACCAUGAGCCUCCCUGCAGAUCAGUGGAGGAAGGCGGGCUCAGUGAGCUGUGAGGCCAGUCUGACCGGACAGAGCCCUGUCGCUCGAACCCUGGACCCUGACCGCUGCUCGGAGUAGAGAGACGACAGCACUUCCUGUCUGACAUGAUGCUGAUUCUUUGAUGAGCUGCACAUCUCCUCUCUGCAGCUUUCUGCUGGGUUUUAGUGUCCAUGUUGCUUUUCAGUAUUGAUCAUCUGCAUAUUCUGCUUUAUUUUGAAAAAACCUAGUCAUUCAUCAAAAUAUCAUAAUCAUCAUUGAAUAAAACUGUGUGUCACAAUAAA